GAUGAAGAACGUAGCGAAAUGCGAUACGUAAUGUGAAUUGCAAAUUCAGUGAAUCAUCGAGUCUUUGAACGCACAUUGCGCCCCCUGGUAUUCCGGGGGGCAUGCCUGUCCGAGCGUCAUUGCUGCCCUCAAGCACGGCUUGUGUGUUGGGCCCCGUCCUCCGAUCCCGGGGGACGGGCCCGAAAGGCAGCGGCGGCACCGCGUCCGGUCCUCGAGCGUAUGGGGCUUUGUCACCCGCUCUGUAGGCCCGGCCGGCGCUUGCCGAUCAACCCAAAUUUUUAUCCAGGUUGACCUCGGAUCAGGUAGGGAUACCCGCUGAACUUAAGCAUAUCAAUAAGCGGAGGA
rnacentral:misc_RNA from 1 species